UAGCUAUUGUGCAGGCAUUGAUUCAACAAUUCCUUGAAUCUUUCCCAUACUUGAUAGAACGUUUCAUUGUCCUUUUCGGAAAAUAUGGAAAUUUGUCAUUUUAGAUU